AUACUUACCUGGCAGGGGAGACACCAUGAUCAAGGCAGGUGGAUUUUCCAGGGUGAGGCUCGUCCCCUGCACACUGGCUGUGCUGACCCCUGCCAAUUAGAAAAAAUUAACUGUGUGAGUUUC